rnacentral:rRNA from 1 species
UGGGGAAUAUUGGGCAAUGGGCGAAAGCCUGACCCAGCAACGCCGCGUGAAGGAAGAAGGUCUUCGGAUUGUAAACUUCUUUUAUGAGGGACGAAGGACGUGACGGUACCUCAUGAAUAAGCCACGGCUAACUACGUGCCAGCAGCCGCGGUAAUACGUAGGUGGCAAGCGUUAUCCGGAUUUACUGGGUGUAAAGGGCGCGUAGGCGGGGAUGCAAGUCAGAUGUGAAAUCUAUGGGCUUAACUCAUAAACUGCAUUUGAAACUGUAUCUCUUGAGUGCUGGAGAGGUAGACGGAAUUCCUUGUGUAGCGGUGAAAUGCGUAGAUAUAAGGAAGAACACCAGUGGCGAAGGCGGCUCUCUGGUCUGCAACUGACGCUGAGGCUCGAAAGCAUGGGUAGCGAACAGGAUUAGAUACCC